GACGAACGCUGGCGGCGUGCUUAACACAUGCAAGUCGUACGGUAAGGCCCUUUCGGGGGUACACGAGUGGCGAACGGGUGAGUAACACGUGAGUAACCUGCCCACAACUUUGGGAUAACGCUAGGAAACUGGUGCUAAUACUGGAUAUGUGCUCCUGCUGCAUGGUGGGGGUUGGAAAGCUCCGGCGGUUGUGGAUGGACUCGCGGCCUAUCAGCUUGUUGGUGGGGUAGUGGCCUACCAAGGCGGCGACGGGUAGCCGGCCUGGGAGGGUGACCGGCCACAUUGGGACUUGGAUACGGCCCAGACUCCUACGGGAGGCAGCAGUGGGGAAUAUUGCACAAUGGGCGCAAGCCUGAUGCAGCAACGCCGCGUGCGGGAUGACGGCCUUCGGGUUGUAAACCGCUUUCAGCAGGGACGAAGCUUUUUGUGACGGUACCUGCAGAAGAAGCACCGGCUAACUACGUG
rnacentral:rRNA from 1 species